rnacentral:sRNA from 1 species
CUUCUUUGUGCUCGGGUUAGGAGGAGCUAGGCUGCCAUCAGACCAGUGCACAUACGGGGUUGCUCUUUUGCUCAUAAGAGGGGCUUCGCUGGCAGUCUGAACGGCAAGCUUGAGUCAGGAUCCUUAAUUAAGAUCCUCAAUUGGCUGGAGGGCGGAUCUCGCGAGUAGGGCGACGCGGUAGAAAUAUUGCUUCGGUGGGUGACGCGGUACAGCUGCCGAAGGGCGUUCGUUACGGGAAUGCCGAAGCGUGGGAAAAAGGGAGCGGUGGCAGAAGACGGGGAUGAACUCAAGACAGGUAAGAGAAUGAAAUGAGCCCUUCUUCCUAGAAGCUGCGGCGGGGGUGUUUGUAAUUCCCUUGAUGUACGGUAAGUACGGGCCGACUCAUUUUUGCAGGGGUUUGUGAAGACGCAGUAACCGUAGGCUUUCGUUGGGUCUGUAAUUAACCCCGGAUCGUAGUUGGAAACCACCAGCUUUUUGUCAGUAUAUAUUACUCAUUUUAUAGAGCCAGAGGCUAAGAAGAGUAAGACGACCGCAAAGAAAAAUGACAAAGAGGCAGCAGGAGAGGGCCCAGCCCUGUAUGAGGACCCCCCAGAUCAGAAAACCUCACCCAGUGGCAAACCUGCCACACUCAAGAUCUGCUCUUGGAAUGUGGAUGGGCUUCGAGCCUGGAUUAAGAAGAAAGGAUUAGAUUGGGUAAAGGAAGAAGCCCCAGAUAUACUGUGCCUUCAAGAGACCAAAUGUUCAGAGAACAAACUACCAGCUGAACUUCAGGAGCUGCCUGGACUCUCUCAUCAAUACUGGUCAGCUCCUUCGGACAAGGAAGGGUACAGUGGCGUGGGCCUGCUUUCCCGCCAGUGCCCACUCAAAGUUUCUUACGGCAUAGGCGAGGAGGAGC